rnacentral:rRNA from 1 species
AACGAACGCUGGCGGCAUGCCUAACACAUGCAAGUCGAACGAGACCUUCGGGUCUAGUGGCGCACGGGUGCGUAACGCGUGGGAACCUGCCCUUAGGUUCGGAAUAACUCCCCGAAAGGGGUGCUAAUACCGGAUAAUGUCUUCGGACCAAAGAUUUAUCGCCUUUGGAUGGGCCCGCGUUGGAUUAGCUAGUUGGUAGGGUAAAAGCCUACCAAGGCGACGAUCCAUAGCUGGUCUGAGAGGAUGAUCAGCCACACUGGGACUGAGACACGGCCCAGACUCCUACGGGAGGCAGCAGAGGGGAAUAUUGGACAAUGGGCGAAAGCCUGAUCCAGCAAUGCCGCGUGAGUGAUGAAGGCCUUAGGGUUGUAAAGCUCUUUUAACCGGGAUGAUAAUGACAGUACCGGGAGAAUAAGCUCCGGCUAACUCCGUG